UGACAGCCAAGAUAAACGUCAAUAAUGAAAAUGUCAACUGCUGCUUGCUUGUUAUUGUAUUUUUAUUCGUUUUUAAACAAUAAUUUUAGUUUUAAGUAAAUAACAAUGGUAGUGAACGCUCCAGACUCGCCUGUACAGGCUGAAGUGAUAUUCGUAAUAGAGGCUACGGCUGCUAAUAGCGCGUAUAUAGGAGAACUGAAGACAAAUUACAUAGUCCCCACAUUAGAAUAUUUCCAUGGAGGGCCAUUAGAGGAAGGAGGUGGGAGUGGGUCAGUGUAUGCCAUAGUUACAUAUAAAGCUGCUGACUGCCACCCUGGAGUUCCUGUGGCCACCUUCGGACCCUACACAAGUCCACAAUCAGUUGUGGAAACUGUUGAUAAAAUACAAUACAUAGGUGGUCAUGCAGAGAGUCGAGCAUGUGUCACAGAGGCACUCACGGCAGCGCUGGCUUGUUUUGAUGAGCUCGGCAGAACAGAUAUACCAAUACACGUUCUGUUGUUAUGCUGUUCACCUCCUUACUCGGCAUAUGCUGGUGGUCUGGUUCCUGCAGGUGCCCCAGCGACAGUAGAGCAAGCGGCGCGGCUGCUAGGCGAGCGCGGGGCGCAGGUGUCGGUGGCCGCAGCCCGGAGAGUGCCCGCACUGCACGCGCUAUACGAACACGCGGGGGGAGAGCUGCAUCAGGCGCAGCAGAGGAACUAUGCUAAGGACCCGCGUCACUUGGUGCUACUCCGCGGGUACAGUCUGAAGGAGCGGCCGCCGAGCCCCGCGCCGCCGCCCGUGCCCGACAUACAAGCUGAUGUCUACGGACAAGGUCGCGGCACCGCCGUGCCGGCGCGGCCCGGGGCGCAGACGUUCCCGCGGCCCGGCGUCGCCGCUACUGCCGGCGUGGGGCCCGUCGGCAAUGUGGCGGGGGUACCCGGGGUCGCUGGCGUUGGUAAUGCAGCUUGUGGUCGCGGUGCCGGUAACUGGCUGGCUCCGCCUCGGGCCCCUCUCUACGCGAACAAUUCUGCGCUGCUCACUCAACUAGCUCAGCCGUCCUACCCGCCGCCGCCGCCGCCGCCCGCACAUGCCGCACAGCGUAUGCCAUCGAUGGUGACUCCCGGACCCUCAGGGGCGCAGCUGCAGCGCUCGUACAUCUGGAGCGGCGUCAUCGAGUGGAUGGAGAAGGGCAAGCAGCCCGGAGACCAGCAGAAGACUACCAAGCACCUGCCUUGUCAGGUAUCAGCCAGCACAAAGGACAUAGAACCAGAACUCAAAGUAGACACCUGGCCGAACAAGUUGCUGAUGCAGCUGAUGCCGAAGCAGCUGAUCAGCAACAUCGGCGGCCAGUAUCUGAAGGACAGCAAGUCUGUGCUGUUUCAUUUGCAGCCCAGUGAGGCGUUGGAUUCCUUGACUAAGGUCAUGGUUAAUGGUUUUGCGGGUUGCGUCCACUUCUCCCCGAUGCCGACGCCGCCGCAGUGCGACAUCAAAGUGCUCAUUCUACUGUAUACGCCCGACAAGAAGGCGUACCUAGGCUUUAUACCGAAUAACCAGGCUACUUUUGUGGACCGGUUGAGGAAGGUGAUUCAACAACAGAAGAUCAGCCAGAUUAUCAGCAAGCAGCAGCUACCGGCUGCCGUCAGUAACGCGGGCGGCAUGGCGCAGAAUAUGCCUAAUGCUACCAUGGCUGGUUCAAGCGCCAUGUCCAACGCCGGCAUGACAUCGGGCGGGCUAGGCGCUGGGAUGGCGGGUGGGAUGCAGCCAGUGGGCAACGUGGGCAGUGUGGGCAACGUGGGCAAUGUGGGCAACGUGGGGCAGAUGCCCGGCCCCGGCCCCAGCCAGGGCAUGGUGCAGUCGCAGAUGCAGCAGCAUCAACAGGGCAUGAUGAUAGGCGGUUCAAUCCAGCAGCAAGUACAACAAGUAGGCGGCAAGGGACCCCGCCCCGUCACACAACUAGACGGACUCGAAGCCGCCCGACAACAGAACUUAGAGAAAAUACAACAUCUACAGCAAACGUUAGAAGCCGCCCAUCAACAAGAAGCACAGUUCAAGUCGCAGAUGGACAUAAUGUCACACUUGCAUGCCGCCCAACAACAGGAACAACACUAUAAACAACUCGAGGUAUGUAACACAUAACAUACAGCAAACGUUAUAGGCCGCUUAACAACAAGAAGCACAGUUCAAGUCGAAGAUGGACAUAAUGUCACACUUGCAUGCCGCCCAACAACAGGAACAGCACUAUAAACAACUCGAGGUAUGUAACACGUAACAACAACAACAAGCACAGUUCAAGUCGCAGAUGGACAUAAUGUCACACUUGCAUGCCGCCCAACAACAGGAACAACACUAUAAACAACUCGAGGAGCAACAACGCAAACACCAGCUACAGCAACAGUUGCAGCAACAGAUCAGAGGAGCCCAGGGUGCCACACACCCGCCUCGCAUCAUGCGUCCGCUGUUGCCGUCCAACCCGGGCUUAAGGCAUCUGCUGCAACAGCAACAACAGCAGCCGCGCGGCGCUCGGCCUCACAUGUGAGCGACUGGACUCACGCACUUAGUCGCACAACAGCCGCAGUACAGGCCCGGGGGCGGAGCACCCCGGCCGGCGUCGCAGCCCCAACAGUUUGAUGACGUCAACAACUACUCCGAUUUUAUAUAGACUAAAUUAGUAAAUUUUUGGAUGAUUUAGGCCCAAGUUCUCUGACAACAUAUACUUCUGAUUUUCUUAAAACUGUUUACUUUGAAAAUUGAACGUAAAAAAUCUGUUGUUUUAAGAAAAUUUACGUUUUUUUGUCCUUCAAAUUGGACCUAAAAGUAUUGAUUUGUAAUGUGGAACGUCAAGUUUUGUGAAAUUAAGUAUACAUAUUUGAACGAUCUAUACAAAAUAGUUGCAAGUUAAGGAAAUGGAUCAUAAAUAAUUGUUGAUAAAAACUGAGGUAUACUGAGGAUGUGUAUGUAUUAAGUCUGUUUCCAAUAGUGAAUAUGAAUGUUUAUACAAAAUAGUAAUUAAGGAAUAAAUGAGUUUUUACAUA